CACAACCUGGUAGGAAAAGGUCUCGAAGCCACAGUUUCAAGCAGUUGUCUGAUGCUGAGGAACCUGACUGGACUUCAGUCGCAUAUAAAAAAAAGAAGCCAAGAAUUUUGCAGGAAAAUUCUUCUCUUUUAGAAGAAUUAAAGGAGAUCAACCAUCGAUUGGUAGACAGUGUGAUUGUUGUUGGAGAAAAUGUCAGCUUUCUUAAAGCGCCGGGAGUAGCGGCUGAGGAUAGUGAAGGGUUGGUUAUCGAAUUCCUUUUCAAUGCAGUAUCGUUCAAUAUGACGUAGAAUCUCAUACUUUUGCAGAUAAAAAGUCAAUAAUCAAACCAUUAAGGUUGUUCGUUCCUACAAAUUAUCCAACUUCUUUGCCUGUUAUUGUAGACAAAGAGCUGUCAGAAGUCAGUACUGAAUGCCAUAAAGACCUAUCAACAAUAGCAAAAUCAAAGCUGAUUCGCUUUCUGAGAUGCUUGGAUCGGACAUGGUCACUUGAGGAUAUAGCAAUGUCAUGGGAACGUUGUGCCAGAGAAACAGUUCUUGAGUGUGCAAAAACCUUUGGAGGAGAAACUUUUAGCUCAAUAUAUGGAGAGUGGGAAAAUUAUCGAACUCAAGUCAUGGCUUGAAUAGAUCAAUCAUAUAUUUUUUUUUUUGCAAGGCAUGU